GCCUGGCUGGCUCAGGGAAGAGCGUGUGGCUCUUGUUCUCAGGGUCAUGAGUUCAAGCCCCAUGUGGGGUA
rnacentral:tRNA from 1 species